UAUUGCAGACACUUCACAGCAUAAACUUUUUGAUAUAUUUUGGGGAAAAUCCAACGGUAACUCCAAAGCCAAAAAUAUUUUCUACAAUUUCCACUUCCCCUAACCUUUUAAGGAUCUUAUGAUGCUUCAAAAGCUAAAAAUGAAAUUUUUCACGGCAUUCACUUCCAUCAUGGGUAUCUACUUGAUGAGGAUCUUCACGAUAAUUUUCCCUAGUCUAGUGCAGCAUCGAUGAUAACGUUCUUCACAUCUGUUGCGUGAGUCGCAUGCAUUUAAGUUCCUCCGGUCACUCAAUCAUGUCGUAGGACGAAAGGUCCGAAUCGGCACGUGUGACUGGUUGUAUACGUAGAAUUUUUGAUGAGCAUAGUGACCGCGGAUAUUUUUUAUAUCCGUGAGUAGUAACAUCUUUUUCA